rnacentral:rRNA from 1 species
GGAAUUUUCCGCAAUGGGCGAAAGCCUGACGGAGCAAUGCCGCGUGGAGGACGAAGGCUCGUGGGUCGUAAACUCCUUUUCUUAGAGAAGAAGCUCUGACGGUAUCUAAGGAAUCAGCAUCGGCUAACUCCGUGCCAGCAGCCGCGGUAAUACGGGGGAUGCAAGCGUUAUCCGGAAUCAUUGGGCGUAAAGCGUCUGUAGGUGGUUUAGCAAGUCUGCUGUCAAAGACUAGGGCUUAACCCUGGAAAGGCAGUGGAAACUGUUAGGCUUGAGUACGGUAGGGGCAGAGGGAAUUCCCGGUGUAGCAGUGAAAUGUGUAGAGCUCGGGAAAAACACCAAUGGCGAAAGCACUCUGCUGGGCCGUGACUGACACUGAGAGACGAAAGCUAGGGGAGCGAAUGGGAUUAGAUACCCCUGUAGUC